rnacentral:rRNA from 1 species
CGGGACGGGUGAGUAACACGUGGAUAACCUACCUAUAAGACUGGGAUAACUCGGGAAACCGGAGCUAAUACCGGAUAAUAUAUUGAACCGCAUGGUUCAAUAGUGAAAGACGGUUUUGCUGUCACUUAUAGAUGGAUCCGCGCCGCAUUAGCUAGUUGGUAAGGUAACGGCUUACCAAGGCAACGAUGCGUAGCCGACCUGAGAGGGUGAUCGGCCACACUGGAACUGAGACACGGUCCAG